UACAGAGGUCUCAAGCGUUGUUCGGAUUUAUUGGGCGUAAAGAGCUUGUAGGCGGCUCGUCGCGUCGGGUGUGAAAACUUGCGGCUUAACCGCAAGCCUGCACCCGAUACGGGCGGGCUAGAGUUCGGCAGGGGAGACUGGAAUUCCUGGUGUAGCGGUGGAAUGCGCAGAUAUCAGGAGGAACACCGGUGGCGAAGGCGGGUCUCUGGGCCGAUACUGACGCUGAGAAGCGAAAGCGUGGGGAGCGAACAGG
rnacentral:rRNA from 1 species